GUAAUGGAUUGUCCUGGAAGUCCCUACACAGGGGACAGACACCUAACACUCAGAGCCAAAGAGUCGAAGUUGCUAUGGCUGUGGCUGCCAAGACAGAUGCUGUGUUGGAGUCCAGGCUUCCUGGACGGCUGCAGUAUUUUGGAUGGAAAUCAGAAACCUUUAAGGCAGCAAUGGAAGAACAAACACAUUUUUUCUAGGAACAACGUUGCUUCUACUCUGGAACAAGAGAAACCUGGU